rnacentral:rRNA from 1 species
UACGAAGGGGGCUAGCGUUGCUCGGAAUCACUGGGCGUAAAGCGCACGUAGGCGGACUCUUAAGUCGGGGGUGAAAUCCUGGAGCUCAACUCCAGAACUGCCUUCGAUACUGGCGAUCUCGAGUUCGGGAGAGGUGAGUGGAACUGCGAGUGUAGAGGUGAAAUUCGUAGAUAUUCGCAAGAACACCAGUGGCGAAGGCGGCUCACUGGCCCGAUACUGACGCUGAGGUGCGAAAGCGUGGGGAGCAAACAGG